rnacentral:pre_miRNA from 1 species
UCUUAUGGAUGAGUCAAGAAAGUAGAUUCUUGAGAUGGAAUCUGCUCCUGGUGAAGAUGCUGAGAA